rnacentral:rRNA from 1 species
UAGAGUUUGAUCCUGGCUCAGAAUCAACGCUGGCGGCGUGCCUAACACAUGCAAGUCGCACGAGAAAGGGGCUUCGGCUCUGAGUAAAGUGGCGCACGGGUGAGUAACACGUGAAUUAUCUACCUCCGAGUGGGGAAUAACUGAGAGAAAUCUUAGCUAAUACCGCAUAACACUUACGAGUCAAAGCAGCAAUGCGCUUGGAGAGGAGUUCGCGGCCGAUUAGUUAGUUGGCGGGGUAAUGGCCCACCAAGACGAUGAUCGGUAUCCGGCCUGAGAGGGCGCACGGACACACUGGAACUGAAACACGGUCCAGACUCCUACGGGAGGCAGCAGUGGGGAAUUUUGCGCAAUGGGGGAAACCCUGACGCAGCAACGCCGCGUGGAGGAUGAAAUCCCUUGGGAUGUAAACUCCUUUCGAUAGGGAAGAUUAUGACGGUACCUAUAGAAGAAGCCCCGGCUAACUUCGUGCCAGCAGCCGCGGUAAUACGAGGGGGGCAAGCGUUGUUCGGAAUUAUUGGGCGUAAAGGGCGCGUAGGCGGUUUGACAAGUCUGAUGUGAAAUCUCUGGGCUCAACCCAGAGUCUGCAUUAGAAACUGUCGGGCUUGAGUAUGGGAGAGGUGAGUGGAAUUUCCGGUGUAGCGGUGAAAUGCGUAGAUAUCGGAAGGAACACCUGUGGCGAAAGCGGCUCACUGGACCAUAACUGACGCUGAGGCGCGAAAGCUAGGGGAGCAAACAGGAU